rnacentral:rRNA from 1 species
AACGAACGCUGGCGGCAUGCCUAACACAUGCGAGUCGAACGAGACCUUCGGGUCUAGUGGCGCACGGGUGCGUAACGCGUGGGAACCUGCCUUUAGGUUCGGAAUAACUCAGAGAAAUUUGAGCUAAUACCGGAUAAUGUCUUCGGACCAAAGAUUUAUCGCCUUUAGAUGGGCCCGCGUAAGAUUAGCUAGUUGGUGGGUAAAGGCCUACCAAGGCGACGAUCUUUAGCUGGUCUGAGAGGAUGAUCAGCCACACUGGGACUGAGACACGGCCCAGACUCCUACGGGAGGCAGCAGUGGGGAAUAUUGGACAAUGGGCGAAAGCCUGAUCCAGCAAUGCCGCGUGAGUGAUGAAGGCCUUAGGGUUGUAAAGCUCUUUUACCCGAGAUGAUAAUGACAGUAUCGGGAGAAUAAGCUCCGGCUAACUCCGUGCCAGCAGCCGCGGUAAU